CUAAAGCUAGGCUAGACAAUUUAAGUGACGAUUACAGGGAAAAUAAACCUAAGCUAUCUAAGACAGUUCCAGAAAAUCAACAGACAAAGUAAAUGAAAAUAAGCAAAGGGAGGUUCAGAUUAUACUCUCCGUCUUUUUGGUAUUAUUUUUAUUUGCAUGAGAAACUAAAACAGUAACACAAAGGGAACAACAGGACAUGAACACAUAUAGCAGAAUGGAUAUGGGUCACAUUACAAACACUUAUAUCACAGGUACAUAGCUACACAGAGACUGAAAAUUAAAUGACAAAUCAGCUGACUACAAUAGAGAGCAAUUUUAGAAUAAGAUUCAGAACAAGUAAACUGAAUGUAACAGACGGCUACUUGACAGAUGAAUCACAUAUAUUGAAAUCGCGCAAAGCAGUUUACAAUUGAAUAAGUCUCAACACUAAAAGUUCACUGAAUACACACGCACACAUAUACUAGAAGAAUACUAAUUGAUAGAAUCAAAAUAUAAUAGAUCAAGUAUCUCCCAAAGUAACAAGCCUCAACUAGUCAGACCUCAGAUCACAUACACCAUAUUAUACAAGUACUUAAACAGAGCAAACAGCAGGUUGCAAGUACACUUCAAAUCUGAUAUUAAAUGUCAUACACUUCUAAAUUUUACAGAAAUUUCACACACCUCAACUUACAGAAAAUUAAGUAUUUCAAACAGUACACAAGUUCACCUAGCAGUUUACAGAAUUUUGCAAGAAGUAAAGAGAGAAGAGAAGCAGCAGCAGUUUGGGUCCAGAGAAGAAGGAAGAUGCAGCAGCAGGGACGUGGUGAGAGAUCUUGAGAAGAAGUGCAGCAGCGGCGCUAGGAGAGAUGGGACAUCAGCAAGGUACAGAGAGAAAGAGAAGAACAUCAGCAAGGUAAGGGAAGACAGAGCAGCAGCAGGGUCGCAAGAAGAGCAGCAGCAAGAGGCGUUGAGAGAGGGAGCAGCAACAGAAGGCAUUGAGGAUCAGAAAAGAAGGGAAGCAAAGGAAGUGGAGUAAUGGCGCUAGGAGUGAGGGGUGCUGGUGAUGUGAUGGCGUGGUGGAUGGAUAGAUGGAUGGAUUCGGGGAGGAGAAGGAGAUGGUGCUGGUGGUGCAUGGUGGAGAUGGAUAGAUGGAUGGAUUCGGGGAGGAGAAGGAGAUGGUGCUGGUGGUGCGUGGUGGAGAUGGAAUGGAUGGAUGGCUGGGUGGCGCACCGCUACGCCGGCCUGGCUGCGGUGGCGGCCGGUGGUGGAGAAGGAAGGGUGAGGGAGAGAGGUGAGAUGCCAGGCCCAAGGGGAUCAAAGGCCACCUAGGGAUUUUGACCCCUCUCGAUCAGAUCUGCCCAUAUUGCACUUUGGCCCUUCUCUUCUCUUCUUUUGGCUCAAGUAGAUCCCUCUCCUCUUUAGCUAGCCCCUCUAGAUACUUCUUAUCAUCACACACAAGUCCAUUCUUCCUUCUCUUAUUUUCACUUGACUAAUUCUCUUAGCCACCUAGUCCAGAUCUUGGAAGUUUAUAAUGCCUUUGCGCACUUUUCUGCAAAAGAAACAAAUGACGAGUAAAUGGUCUUUUAUAUGAUUUUCAUACAAAUAUAUCAGAGUUCAUAGUAAGAAUGGAUGAACAUAUAUCAACAAAUGGUGUAUAUAUGUGCCAAAAUUAUGUAUAUGAAAUGUGCUUAUCAAGUUCCCCCACACUUAAAUCUUUGCUUGUCCUUAAGCAAAGGCAUAUGACAAAAGCAAGAACAUGAACAGUGAACUGACUAGAGAAUGUCAAGUGAGGUAGAUCUCUAAACAGUGCAUGCUUUGGACUUGGCUAGUGAAAAUUAAUGGUUAAGAGUGCUACAUAUCAAUAGGACACUAGUAAACUCGACCAUUUUAAACUUUUGCAAUGAUAAAUGAAGAUUAGCAAGUUCAAAUGCUGAUUGUGCAUAAGGGUUCCUAAAGAGAGCAUGAUCCCAAAAAAACUUAUUACCUGGAACAUAACAUUAUGGUAGAAGCACUUAUUGAAUUUGAAGGAAGUAAUGGUAAUAUUUUAUUGAUCUCACCAAAGGAACAUGCCACCGAUCCCGAGAACAUGGUAUACACCCGGCUUGACCAAUUAUUAGUUUUUUUAGUUUGUCUCCCCAAAGGAACAUACCACUGAUCCCGAGAACAUGGUAUACACCUGGUUCGACAAUUACAUUUCUAUUAUUAUUAAUUUCUUCCCAAGCUAACCCGAUUUCACAUGCCACCGAUCUCGGGAACAUGACAUGCUACUGUAGGUAGCCAGACUUAUUUAUUCAUUAUUACUUAUCUUAAAUGAACAACGCAUAAGAACAAAAACAGGAAUCAUCACUUCUCCAUGUCUAGUUCACAUGCUACCGAUCUAGGGAACAUAGCAUGCUAAUCCAUAGUGGUUAGGUGAUUGCUCUCAAUGGGAAGACACUUGGCACAAAUUCAGUAUCUAAACAUGGUGAUCUAGGUGUAUCAUAGUAAAUGCAAAAAAUGACGAAGUUUUCUAGUGUACUAGGGAUUUGAGCACUCAAAACUAGUAGUUCUCACUAAUUUUAGCAAAGCAUGCAUGGUGUAGAUCACUAGUUUACAAGGCAUUCAGAAAGCAAGUUCACAAAUUCACAUCAAGCACAAUGCCAAAGGUGAAUUUCAGCUUGACAACAAGUAAUAACUAGCUCAAGCAACCCAACUAGCAAUUGAAUUCAGCAUGUAUUUAUGAUAUUCAGAAUGGGUCAUGAAACAUCUCACCGGGCUUUGAUCAUGUAGCACUCGCUCGAUCACCUCACUAGCUGCAGCUCUUCUCCCUUGCUUCCUCAUGGAUGCUCCAACUUCACUCUUCCAUAUGUGUGCCCCAUUGCUUCUCCUCAUCGCCAUGCUCUAACUCCACCAGGAUCCCAAGGAAUGUCACCUCGAACCUGGUCAGCAUGUAGUAAACAGUGCAGUAGCAAAAGCCUUAAAUAGGACUCACACAAACAACUACAAGUGAUACGGUCGAUGCCCUCCAAGUCAUCAAUGGAAUAUCCAAUUAUAUAAGCAUAACUAUAAAGCACAUGUUUAGGAUGGCAGAAAUCAGCAUGGUCAAUACUCACACGAGGAUGACAUUUAUCAUUAAGCUCAAGACUAGCAUGAGGAAAGUAAUUGUGAUCAUCACAAAUGAGAGCAAUGCCACCAAUAGUGUAUGUAUCAUUAUAUCCAAGUAAAUGAUUUUUCAAAUCAAUCUUAAGUGAUGGCAUCAUGUAAUGCAAGGUAGAAGCAAAUAAAUCAUAUGAAGACAUGUCAUUAAGAGGAUUAGAUAAACCUGACACAUCACGCUCUGGUAUGACAAUAGGCAAAUGAAUCUCAGGUUCUUCAUCUUCAUCAACAUCAUCUUCUUUUACUUCUUCGGGAGUGGUAGACAUUGGAUCUUCAACUUGUUCACUUUGUUGUUCGAGCUCUGGAUCAUCUUGUGCCUUGGCUUCGAGAAUUUCUUCUUGGAUCUGAAGUAUCUCUUCCUCUGGACUCUCGCUAUCUUGCUCAGCUGAAUGUGAAGGUGUUGGAACCUCACAUGUAUCAAUGGAUAUCUCAGCCACACUCAACUCAAACUGUGAUGAUAUAGUACUGCCAGCGUUGAUGUUCUUCUCAAUCUUCCUUACUUCUUCCACUAGCUCCUUUCCACUCUUAAUCUUCUUCAUUUCCUCUAGUAUCACCGGCCUAAUUGGAUCAUCUUCCGCACUUCAAGUGAACUCAAGACCAAGCAAUGUGAGCUUGUCUAUAUCAUCAAAGUCAUCUUGUGUGGGCAGUUGUAUUGAAGAUGUUGGUUGACCAAAUGGAGGACCAUUUAACUCCAUUGGCAACAUGUCCUGGUGUUGAGGUAUAUGAGUAGGAGCUGAAUAAAUCUGUUGUGGAGCAUAGUUGUGGCUCUCCUCUUCAUACCUAAAUCCCUGCAUUGGAUAACUAGAGGCAAACGAUGAGAUCUCAGGGUUAUUGCUCCUAUAUGACAUAUUCUGGUUUUCAGGCCACCCAUGUGUGUAAUUGUUUUGGUAUGAGCUAGGCUGUGGGGCGAAGCUCAUGCCAUAAUAAUCGGGAGGGUGAGAGUAACCACGCUGACAUUCAGCGGGUGAAUGGCCCUGAAAUCCACAAAUAUGGCAUGUAGGAGCCACAUAAGGAUGACCUCUAGAAUAAGGAUCAUAAGAGCUAGUCCUAUCCUCAAAAACUACGUCUCGCUGCCGAGCUAAAUCAUUUAAUUGAUGGGAAACCUUACUUAUCAGUUCUUGAAUACUUUCCGUGCUGUUUGUAGUGUUGCUCGCAUAAGCAUGAUGAUCUGAAUAGUAAGCCAUAUCCGAGAAGAUGAUUCUAACCUGGAAAAAGAAAAGAAAACAAAGAGGAAAUAAUCUAGAACAAGGGUUAGGAGUUAGAGAUAUAUCACAAAUAUAUGGCACAAAAUAGAAAAAGAAGAAAAACCUAGUCUAUAGCUUAACACGGUCACUCGACACUAGUCCCCGGCAACGGCGCCAAAAUGAUCGAUUGUAAAUGUAGUGGAAUAUUUUCCCAAACUACGGAUGUCGUGUUCUCCACAGGGAAUAAAUGAUCAGCGAUGAUGCUUGGCUAAAGCUAGGCUAGACAAUUUAAGUGACGAUUACAGGGAAAAUAAACCUAAGCUAUCUAAGAGAGUUCCAGAAAAUCAACAGACAAAGUAAAUAAAAAGAAGAAAAGGGAGGUUCAGAUUAUACUCUCCGUCUUUUUGGUAUUAUUUUUAUUUGCAUGAGAAACUAAAACAGUGACACAAAGGGAACAACAGGACAUGAACACAUAUAGCAGAAUGGAUAUGGGUCACAUUACAAACACUUAUAUCACAGGUACAUAGCUACACAGAGAUUGAAAAUUAAAUGAAAAAUUAGCCUACUACAAUAGAGAGCAAUUUUAGAAUAAGAUUCAGAACAAGUAAACUUAAUGUAACAGACGGCUACUUGACAGAUGAAUCACAUAUAUUGAAAUAGCGCAAAGCAGUUUACAAUUGAAUAAGUCUCAACACUAAAAGUUCAUUGAAUACACACGCACACAUAUACUAGCAGAAUACUAAUUGAUAGAAUCAAAAUAUAAUAGAUCAAGUAUCUCCCAAAGUAACAAGCCUCAACUAGUCAGAUCUCAGAUCACAUACACCAUAUUAUACAAGUACUUAAACAGAGCAAACAGCAGGUUGCAAGUACACUUCAAAUCUGAUAUUGAAUGUCAUACACUUCUAAAUUUUACAGAAAUUUCACACACCUCAACUUACAGAAAAUUAAGUAUUCAGAACAGUACACAAGUUCACCUAGCAGUUUACAGAAUUUUGCAAGAAGUAAAGAGAGAAGAGAAGCAGCAGCAGUUUGGGUUUAGAGAAGAAGGAAGAUGCAUCAGCAAGGACGUGGUGAGAGGUCUUCAGAAGAAGUGCAGCAGCGGCGCUAGGAGAGAUGGGACAUCAGCAAGGUACAGAAAGAAAGAGAAGAACAGCAGCGAGGUAAGGGAAGAAGGAGUAGCAACAGGGUCGCAAGAAGAACAUCAACAGGAGGCGUUGAGAGAGGGAGCAGCAACAGAAGGCGUUGAGGUUUAGAAAAGAAGGGAAGCAAAGGAAGUGGAGUAAUGGCGCUAGGAGUGAGGGGUGCUGGUGAUGUGAUGGCAUGGUGGAUGGAUAGAUGGAUGGAUUCGGGGAGGAGAAGGAGAUGGUGCUGGUGGUGCGUGGUGGGGAUGGAUAGAUGGACAGAUCCGGGGAGGAGAAGGAGAUGGUGCUGGUGGUGCGUGGUGGAGAUGGAAUGGAUGGAUGGCUGGGUGG
rnacentral:lncRNA from 1 species